GGGGCGCACGUGUUCCGGUUCCGGGUCCGGGCAGCGAUGAGGGGCCCGGCGGCGGGGACGGAGCGGAGAGCCACGAAAAUGAAGAAAGCGUCCAAAAUAAAGGCGGUGAAAAAAGCGAGGGAAGCGUCUCAAGCGGGCAAAGCGCCGAAAAUGGCGAAAACGAAGACUCCGAAGCGGGCGGCAGCCGUGGCGGAUCAGGCGGCGGCGGAGGCGGCGUGGCGCGCCCGGCACCUGAGGGAUGUGAGCCAGGCGUCGGGCGCCGAGCGGGAGCUGGAGGAGCUGGUGUUCGGUGACAGCCUCAAAGUGGAGGAGGACGAGCUGCUGCGGCGCCUGGGCGAGCCCCCGAGGGUUGCUGCCACAGAGAGGAAAAGUCUCCAAGCAGACUCCAGCGAUUCCGAGGUAGAAAAUGAAGCGAAAGGCGACUUGUUGCCCAGAAAGCCGGCCUGGGUGGAUGAGGAUGAUGAAGCCGAGGAAAAUGUUGACAUGACCCAUAAAUACAGGAAGGAUUUCAUGAAAAGCGAUGCUGAGAAGACACUUACUAAGAAAAAACUAAAAAGAAGACUUGAGGAACAGUUUCAGCAAGCCAUGGGAGGAGUUCCUGCCUGGGCUAAUUUAGAAAACAGGAAGAAAUCCAAAAGGACUUCAAGUGAUAGUGAGAGUGAUGAAGAUGAUGAUCUUCUACGCAGGACUGGCAAUUUCAUAACGAGCUCAGAGUCCCUGCCAAGAGGGAUUUUGAAGAUGAGCACCUGCCUGCCUGCAAACCAGGAACGCUUUGCCGAUGGAAAGCUGGUGACGGUGCAGUUCCAUCCUUCAGCCCAAGUGGUCAUGACUGCGGGACACGAUCGGUCUGUGUCGCUCUUCCAGGUGGAUGGUAUAAGGAACCCAAAAAUACAGAGCAUCUAUUUAGAGAGUUUUCCAAUUUAUAAGGCUCGUUUCAGUGUUGAUGGAGAACAAGUUAUAGCCACUGGUACUCACCACAGCAUGUUCUUUGUGUAUGACAUGAUGGCUGGAAAUAUUAUUCCUAUACCCAAAGUCCGAGGUGUGGAGGAAAGAUUUCUCAGAAACUUCGAGCUCUCUCCAGAUGGAUCAUUUAUGCUGCUAAUUGGAACCUCGGGUUACCUUCACUUGCUGUCCAUGAAGACAAAGGAACUGAUCAGCACUAUGAAGGUAAAUGGCAGAUGCACUGCAUCUGCUUUCACUCCAGACAGCAGUAAAAUAUACAACUAUUCAAAGGAAGGUGAAGUUUUCAUUUGGGAUGUGAGAAGCAGGAAGUGUCUACACAGAUUUGAAGAUGAAGGUUCUUUGGAAGGACAGUGCAUUGCUGUUUCAAAGAACAACCAGUAUGUGGCAUGUGGUUCAUCUUCAGGAGUUGUAAAUUUAUAUACCACUGAUGUCUGUCUCAAGGAAAACCGUCCUAAGCCAGUUAAGGCCAUAAUGAACCUUGUUACUUCUGCCACCUGUGUGACCUUCAACCCCACCACGGAAAUUUUGGCAGUGGCUUCCCGUGAUGCUGAUGAGGCUGUGAAAUUGGUGCACAUUCCUUCAUACACUGUGUUCUCAAACUUCCCGGUGUUCAGAAGAAAACAGAUUUAUCUUGCUCAGUCUAUGGACUUUUCUCCCAGAAGCGGCUAUUUCUCUGUAGCAAAUAACAAAGGCAAAGCCUUGUUAUUUAGGUUGAAACAUUAUUCAUCUUUCUGAAAGAAGGUACAGCAGAAAAUGGACCAGUAACUGAGGUGUUGUAACCUGCAGAUACGAGUAUGCUGACAAAAUCAAACAAGUCUUAUUUAUAUGGAAGUUACAAAAUACUAAUAGGACAUCUGUAUUUUUGAAUGUUGUUUUUUUUUUAAUAAAUAUACCUGGGUCACCCAGCAGGGACUGUGCUGGAGCUGCUGCUGCUGGUUCUUCAUCUGCUGCCAAAUCCUGCACCUCUGAUCACUCUCUUGCUGAAGUGGCCACUUCUUUCUUCUUAAAUACGUGAACAAAAAGUUGACUAGGAAUCUGCUACAAUGCAAACCCUCCUUUGAGAAUAAAUUGUGACCAAUGUGUCUGUCCACUUCACAGCAGGGAGCUUUUGGGGCAGUAACAGCAAGAGCCAAGGUGCCUCAGUAACCAGCAGUGAAGUCAUUAAGCCUUCAGUGAAAGUGGCAUCGCAGAAAAUCCGCUCCAAGCAUGAGAAAAAUUAAAUUCUAGAACCAUGUCCAAAUUUUUAAAUACAUGAGCCUGUUGUUGAAUUCUUGUCAUGCUGUUUUAAAAAGCAAAAUGGUGUGUUUUCUGAUGUAACGGAUUUUUGAAAUCACUUUGCAAGUGAUUGUAAGAUGAGAACUUGAAUUCACAAAUCUUGGGGAAAGCAGAAUAGGCUGUGGAGGUGUUAAAUUGAAUACAGUGUUUAAUCGUAUUGCAGUGCUAAACUUAAACUAAAACCCCUGGGAUGGAAGAGUAAAAUUAAAUCAGAAGCACACUCUAAUAAAGUUGCUUGCCAUAGGAUUCUUCUGUUACAAACAAAUCUGUCUAAAAUCUAGCUGGGUCUGAGACUGUUGAGUUUCAGAAAUCCAGGUGCUGGAAGUGGUUUCUGACUUCACUAGAGGGCAGCCCAGCAUUGCUGUGGGAGAUUUGGCUCUUGGAUGUUACUGAACAGUUUGUCUCCCAUGACAGCUCUGCGGAUGGGAGAGGGUUUGGUUGUGGUGAGUAACAUAAUUCCCCUUUUCUCAUCGUCUCUGUAUUUUACCAGGUUUAAGUAGUGUGACUUCAUCCACAAAAUUACUAAAUCAUUUUAAAUAAAAGAUUUCUGAGAAGGUAAAUUUUGGAAUAUGUAACCUG